UACAGAGGUCUCGAGCGUUAGGCGGAAUCACUGGGCUUAAAGCGUGUGUAGGUGGAUGCCUAAGUACCUUGUGAAAUCCCACGGCUCAACCGUGGAACUGCUUGGUAUACUGGUCGUCUUGAGGCACUCAGGGGCGAGCGGAACAGAUGGUGGAGCGGUGAAAUGCGUAGAUAUCAUCUGGAACGCCAAUGGUGAAGACAGCUCGCUGGGGGGUGUACUGACACUGAGACACGAAAGCCAGGGGAGCGAACGGG
rnacentral:rRNA from 1 species